rnacentral:rRNA from 1 species
CUACGGAGGGUGCAAGCGUUACUCGGAAUCACUGGGCGUAAAGCGCGCGCAGGCGGUCUUUUAAGUUGGAUGUGAAAGCCUACGGCUCAACCGUAGAACUGCAUCCAAAACUAUUAGACUAGAGUGUGGGAGAGGAAGAUGGAAUUAGUUGUGUAGGGGUAAAAUCCGUAGAGGUAACUAGGUAUACCAAAAGCGAAGGCAAUCUUCUGGAACACUACUGACGCUGAGGCGCGAAAGCGUGGGGAGCAAACAGGAUUAGAAACCCCAGUAGUCC